GCAGUCGCCGCGGUAAUACGUAGGUGGCAAGCGUUGUCCGGAAUUAUUGGGCGUAAAGGGCUCGCAGGCGGUUUCUUAAGUCUGAUGUGAAAGCCCCCGGCUCAACCGGGGAGGGUCAUUGGAAACUGGGAAACUUGAGUGCAGAAGAGGAGAGUGGAAUUCCACGUGUAGCGGUGAAAUGCGUAGAGAUGUGGAGGAACACCAGUGGCGAAGGCGACUCUCUGGUCUGUAACUGACGCUGAGGAGCGAGAGCGUGGGGAGCGAACAGGAUUAGAUACCCCAGUAGUCCCUGUCUCUUAUAC
rnacentral:rRNA from 1 species